AUUGAACGCUGGCGGCAGGCCUAACACAUGCAAGUCGAGCGGAGCGGCGGACGGGUGAGUAAUGGCUAGGACUCUGCCUGUUCGUGGUGGAUAACGUCCAGAACUGGGCGCUGAUACCGCAUACUCUCAGCUGAGCCUAGGCCGGAUUAGCUAGUUGGGGUGGUAGAGGCAUACCAAGGCGACGAUCCGUAACUGGUCUGAGAGGAUGAUCAGUCACACUGGAACUGAGACACGGUCCAGACUCCUACGGGAGGCAGCAGUGGGGAAUAUUGGACAAUGGGCGAAAGCCUGAUGCAGCCAUGCCGCGUGUGUGAAGAAGGUCUUCGGAUUGUAAAGCACUUUAAGUUGGGAGGCGUUACCAACAGAAUAAGCACCGGCUAACUUCGUGCCAGCAGCCGCGGUAAUAC
rnacentral:rRNA from 1 species